UACGUAGGGGGCAAGCGUUGUCCGGAAUUAUUGGGCGUAAAGAGCUCGUAGGCGGUUCGAUAAGUCGGGUGUGAAACCUCCAGGCUCAACCUGGAGACGCCACCCGAUACUGUCGUGACUAGAGUCCAGUAGGGGAGCGUGGAAUUCCUGGUGUAGCGGUGAAAUGCGCAGAUAUCAGGAGGAACACCAGCGGCGAAGGCGGCGCUCUGGGCUGGAACUGACGCUGAGGAGCGAAAGCUAGGGGAGCAAACGGG
rnacentral:rRNA from 1 species